AUUGAACGCUGGCGGCAGGCUUAACACAUGCAAGUCGAGCGGGGAAGGGUAGCUUGCUACCUAACCUAGCGGCGGACGGGUGAGUAAUGCUUAGGAAUCUGCCUAUUAGUGGGGGACAACAUUUCGAAAGGGAUGCUAAUACCGCAUACGCCCUAAGGGGGAAAGCAGGGGAUCUUCGGACCUUGCGCUAAUAGAUGAGCCUAAGUCGGAUUAGCUAGUUGGUGGGGUAAAGGCCUACCAAGGCGACGAUCUGUAGCGGGUCUGAGAGGAUGAUCCGCCAGACUGGGACUGAGAAACGGCCAGACUCCUAAGGGAGGCAGCAGUGGGGAAUAUUGGACAAUGGGGGGAACCCUGAUCCAGCCAUGCCGCGUGUGUGAAGAAGGCCUUUUGGUUGUAAAGCACUUUAAGCGAGGAGGAGGCUACCGAGAUUAAUACUCUUGGAUAGUGGACGUUACUCGCAGAAUAAGCACCGGCUAACUCUGUGCCAGCAGCCGCCGUAACAC
rnacentral:rRNA from 1 species